UUUUUGAAUGUUUCCAGCAGUGUCUGCCCUCCGGACUCAGAGGAAGCAGGGUGAGAGCAGAGCUGGGGACCCUCCCGAAGAGGAUCUGCACUACGCCUCGGUGACUGCAAGGGGACGUCCCCAG